rnacentral:rRNA from 1 species
CAGCCGCCGCGGUAAUUCGGAGGGCGCGAGCGUUGUCCGGAUUCACUGGGCGUAAAGCGGGUGUAGGCGGUCGGGUAAGUCGGACGUGAAAGCCCGGGGCUCAACCCCGGAAGGGCGUCCGAAACUGCUCGACUUGAGGGCGGGAGAGGGAGGUGGAAUUCCCGGUGUAGCGGUGGAAUGCGUAGAUAUCGGGAGGAACACCAGUGGCGAAGGCGGCCUCCUGGCCCGCUCCUGACGCUGAGACCCGAAAGCGUGGGGAGCAAACCGGAUUAGAUCCCCGGGUAGUCCACGCCGUAAACGGUGGGCACUAGGUGUGGGGGGUUAAUCCCUCCGUGCCGAAGCUAACGCAUUAAGUGCCCCGCCUGGGGAGUACGGCCGCAAGGUUGAAACUUAAAGGAAUUGGCGGG